CAAAACAUAAAUCCUCACGUAAUCUGUCUGUUGCGAUUUGGAUGGACCAAAUAUGAAGCAACUUGACUGUCGACAUGGUGAACACGUAGGGGCAUAAUUUUUCAAAAAUGUGAUCGAGGUUGCCUUCAGGUCAAUCCAAAUGUGGGGGAAUAACAGAUGAUUAGAAAUGUUGACAUCUCAACACUAAAACUGACAGAAGGCUUAUCGCUGGGUAUUUUCCAAUACAACCACAAUUACAGAAAUUUUCAGAAGAAAAAGUAAUCUGUGUCAUAUCAACCAAUUUUUCUAAUGAUAAAAAAUCAAUUGAAUCACUACCAUCCAAAACGAACAGAUAACAAAGCCUGAAAAACAAACAUGAACCAAUUGCUUAUAUCAGCAGCAAUGUU
rnacentral:lncRNA from 1 species